GUAUGCUUUAAAGAGGAUGAAAAAUCUCUGGAGAGUGUUGAAUUUGAAGAGAGCCUUAUCGAAAAGGAGAAAACAGUGAUCAAAAAUGAGCUGUAAAUUUUGUGUUUUUUGAAGACUUGCUGUUUCUCUUAUUCAACCAAAAGGAGGAGAGAUAUUUUGUUUGCAAGUGCUUACAGUCAGGAUUUUGGCUAAUUGCAGAAGAGCAAAUCAUGAAGGUGUUUUGUUGCUGUUUUAUCUGAUUGUACGUCUUAGCAAAGUUGAUUGAUGAAGUUGCAGGCUGGAAAUGAGUUUGAAGCCCUUUAUCUUGCUUGGCUGAUCAAAGAAACAGAGAUUGUUCGAUGACUAUUUCAGUAUGCUUUAAAGAGGAUGAAAAAUCUCUGGAGAGUGUUGAAUUUGAAGAGAGCCUUAUCGAAAAGGAGAAGACAGUGAUCAAAAGAGAGCUGUAAAUUUUGUGUUUUUUGAAGACUUGCUGUUUCUCUUAUUCAACCAAAAGGAGGAGAGAUAUUUUGUUUGCAAGUGCUUACAGUCAGGACUUUGGCUAAUUGCAGAAGAGCAAAUCAUGAAGGUGUUUUGUUGCUGUUUUAUCUGAUUGUACGUCUUAGCAAAGUUGAUUGAUGAAGUUGCAGGCUGGAAAUGAGUUAUGAGUUAAAAGCCCUUUCUCUUGCUUGGCUGAUCAAAGAAACAGAAAAUACUCGCAGUUACGCAGCUAAAAGACUACCUGACCUCAUUAACGGAAAUAACGAAUAAACAAGACAUAAUGCGCGCAAGUAUAAGAGUUGAGCUGCAAGAAUCUCGAGUUGAAGUCAACAAACUGCGAUUUGAACGGCACGAGAUCGAAGAGAAAUUGGUGCGACAGCAAAAGGAACACGAAUGACAAAUCAGUAGACAGAGGGAGUCGUCCGCCAAACUGGAACGAACU